AUAUUGGACAAUGGGCGAAACCCUGAUCAAGCCAUCCCCCGGGGGUGAAGAAGGCUUCNGGAUUGNANAGCACUUUAAGUUGGAGNGAGGGGCAGCAGGUAAUUACCUGGCUGUUUUGACGUUACCGACAGAAUAAGCCCCGGCAACCUCCGUCCCAGCAGCCGCGGUAAUACGAAGGGUGCAAGCGUUAAGCGGAAUUACUGGGCGUAAAGCGCGCGUAGGUGGUUUGUUAAGUUGGGAGUGAAAGCCCCGGGCUCAACCUGGGAACUGCUUUCAAAACUGGCAAGCUAGAGUAUGGCAGAGGGUGGUGGAAUUUCCUGUGUAGCGGUGAAAUGCGUAGAUAUAGGAAGGAACACCAGUGGCGAAGGCGACCACCUGGGCUAAUACUGACACUGAGGUGCGAAAGCGUGGGGAGCAAAC
rnacentral:rRNA from 1 species